rnacentral:tRNA from 1 species
AAGAUUAAAAUCAUAGGCUUCUAACCUACUAAUAAUGAAAACUCAUUUAAUCUUU